CACACCCUCCGCUCCCUCUUUGCUGAGGACGAGUGGGUCCUGAGCGGGAAGAGCCCCCAGCGGGUUCACUCCCCCUCUAAAGUGGAAUGACAGCGGUCCGCCUGCCCGUGAAAGACGUAGUAAGAUUGCACAUAUCAGAAUCGUCCUCGAAGGGGAAAGGUAGAGGCCUGCCUCGAAACUCAUACAUCUGAAG
rnacentral:misc_RNA from 1 species